GACGAACGCUGGCGGCGUGCCUAACACAUGCAAGUCGUACGGGACCGGGGGCAACUCCGGUUCAGUGGCAGACGGGUGCGUAACACGUGAGGAACUUGUCCGGUGGCGGGGGAUAGCCGGCCCAACGGCCGGGUAAUACCGCAUACGCUCGUUCGGGGGCAUCCCUGGGCGAGGAAAGCAGCCGCAAGGUUGCGCCGACGGAGGGCCUCGCGACCUAUCAGCUUGUUGGCGGGGUAACGGCCCACCAAGGCGACGACGGGUAGCUGGUCUGAGAGGAUGAUCAGCCACAUUGGGACUGAGACACGGCCCAGACUCCUACGGGAGGCAGCAGUGGGGAAUAUUGCGCAAUGGCCGCAAGGCUGACGCAGCGACGCCGCGUGUGGGAUGAC
rnacentral:rRNA from 1 species